UACGUAGGGGGCAAGCGUUGUCCGGAAUCAUUGGGCGUAAAGCGCGUGUAGGCGGCUCGAUAAGUCUGCUGUGAAAGUCCAAGGCUCAACCUUGGGAUGCCGGUGGAUACUGUCGAGCUCGAGUCCGGAAGAGGCGAGUGGAAUUCCCGGUGUAGCAGUGAAAUGCGUAGAGAUCGGGAGGAACAUCAGUUGCGAAGGCGGCUCUCUGGACCAGCACUGACACUGAGGCACGAAAGCGUGGGGAGCAAACAGG
rnacentral:rRNA from 1 species